UAGGGAAUCUUCCACAAUGGACGCAAGUCUGAUGGAGCAACGCCGCGUGAGUGAAGAAGGGUUUCGGCUCGUAAAGCUCUGUUGUUAAAGAAGAACGUGGGUAAGAGUAACUGUUUACCCAGUGACGGUAUUUAACCAGAAAGCCGACGGCUAACUACGUGCCAG
rnacentral:rRNA from 1 species